rnacentral:lncRNA from 1 species
GAAGUCAAAAUAUUGUUAACUGAGUCAAAUAAAACAAAUUAAAAGGUGGAAUAGUAAUCUCUCUCGAAAAAAAAAAAAAAGGUGGAAUAGUAAAAUCAAAAUUUUUGGAUAGCCGACUUAAAAUGGUCCAUAAUUCAAAAAUUACAUAAAAUAUUACUAAUUGAAUUUGUAAAGAUAAGCAAUGCACUCAAAUAUCAAGGUCAAAGUAUUGUCGACUGACUCAAAUCAGACAAAUUAAAAUUUUUGACAGUAAAAUCAAAAUUUUGAAAGAUUAUAUAUCAAAAUGGUCGAUUCA